UGGUCUUGUUCACACUGCAGCCUGGGUUGU
rnacentral:piRNA from 1 species